CCUACGGGAGGCAGCAGUGAGGAAUAUUGGUCAAUGGACGGAAGUCUGAACCAGCCAUGCCGCGUGCAGGAAGACGGCUCUAUGAGUUGUAAACUGCUUUUGUACAAGGGUAAAUCUGAAUACGUGUAUUCAGCUGAAUGUACUGUACGAAUAAGGAUCGGCUAACUUCGUGCCAGCAGCCGCGGUAAUACGGAGGAUCCAAGCGUUAUCCGGAUUUAUUGGGUUUAAAGGGUGCGUAGGCGGGUUGAUAAGUUAGAGGUGAAAUGUCCGGGCUUAACCCGGGGAGUGCCGUUGAUACUGUUGAUCUAGAGAGUAGAUGAGGUAGGCGGAAUGUAUGGUGUAGCGGUGAAAUGCUUAGAGAUCAUGCAGAACACCGAUUGCGAAGGCAGCUUACCGGUCUAUAUCUGACGUUGAGGCACGAAAGCGUGGGUAGCAAACAGGAUUAGAUACCCUAGUAGUC
rnacentral:rRNA from 1 species